rnacentral:rRNA from 1 species
AUUGAACGCUGGCGGCAUGCUUUACACAUGCAAGUCGAACGGUAACAGACCGCAAGGUGCUGACGAGUGGCGAACGGGUGAGUAACGCAUCGGAACGUACCUUUCAGUGGGGGAUAACGUAGCGAAAGUUACGCUAAUACCGCAUGUUCUGUGAGCAGGAAAGCAGGGGAUCGCAAGACCUUGCGCUGAUUGAGCGGCCGAGAUCAGAUUAGCUUGUUGGUGAGGUAAAGGCUCACCAAGGCGACGAUCUGGCGCGGGUUUGAGAGGAUGAUCCGGCACACUGGAACUGAGACACGGUCCAGACUCCUACGGGAGGAAGCAGUGGGGAAUUUUGGACAAUGGGGGCAACCCUGAUCCAGCCAUGCCGCGUGCGGGAAGACGGCCUUCGGUUUGUAAACCGCUUUCAGGAGGGACGAAGCCACUCGGGUGAAUAGCCCAGAGGGUGACGGUACCUCCAGAAGAAGCCCCGGCUAACUACGUGCCAGCAGCCGCCGUAAUAC